ACACAUCCAGCCAUCUCCCUCGCAUCCAGCCUGCCAUCUCUCCGCCUGCCGGUACCGGAGGACUCUCAAACAUGUCUUCCAUCUUUCCAGACCCUACGCUGUUAUGAACAGGACCUUCUGCAGAAGACAUAUUAGACCGGCCUAAGGUUCCUCAUGGAAGCCUUGCUAUGGAGUCCUACGAGGAGAAGACGGCUCGGGUGCCCUACAGAUGGCAAACUGUAAGCCCCCAGCCCUCUAAGGAGAACCCAUAACGCCAUCUCCAGGAUUCCCAUCCAUGUACCUGCGCAGGUCGUCGGAUUCAUCAACGGGAAGGAACACUCCUAUACAUUGGAAGAAGGUCAAAGGUCAUACAAUGGAUUAGAACCUUUUGUAACAUGAUUGGGGUUGGUCACAUUAUUUUUACCCAAAAGCCUCGACGGCGAUAGACUUUGGCAUUUUAUGGCCUAACACCUCCAGAAAAAAAAAGGAUGAGGAGCUGGCCUUCACCGAGAACCUACAUCUCUGCGUUUUACCACGAGGGCCGAGACGCAAUGAACACCAACUCACCGACUUUCCACAGAAAGACAAAAAACAAGGCGAACCUCCGUAACACCUCCUUCCAAUAAAAAUCCAAAA